CAUAACAAUAUAAUUUUUCUUUCCCAACCACUGUAUCUGCAUAUAUAAUCUCCAUUCAUAUACGCUCAUUAGCCAUCUCUCCACAUCUUCUCGUUCCCAUUCACUCAAACUCGAUUAUGUAGCACCAUCAUUUAUAUAAUCCAUCGCACCAAUCGAAAACCAAUGAUUUUUAUUAUUUUCUACGGUUGGUAAGCUCAAUUUUUCAUUUUUCGAUCAAUUCAAGUGCAUCUUUACAUCCUUGUUUAUCCUAAUCGACAAUCAUAGAAAACUACAUUCCUUUUGAUAUUUGUAUAUUUUGUCUCUUCAAUUGUUUCCCUUUUUCAUCGAUCUAACAUUAUAGGGGUUGAUGAUGCCAUAAUACUUACGAAGUGUUUCUAAGCUUUAAUAUGGAAUCUACAGCAGGGGCAACUUUCUACAACUCUAUAGAAAUGAUGCUGCCAAAUAGCGUGAGCCGAAUGUGUGUUUUUUAGGAUAUAGGGCCAUUUAUCCGGAAGUAUGGACUGCAAGUCUUGGAGCUAUGUAUGCAUGGAUACAAUACAAAAUGUGUUGUGAUGCGUACCGGAUUCGAGAUCGGCGGUCUCCCAAAAAUAUAACACAAUGAACGGAAGUAAACAAAAACAAAAUAAAAGUUUGCUGCAAUUUUCUUCUUCUCAUUCAAUAAUACUAACUGGCCUUAUAUAGGCUUACAAACA